rfam:TPA: Bos taurus chromosome 25, whole genome shotgun sequence.
UCCCUGGUAAUCCAGAGGCUAAGACUCUGUGCUUCCAAUGCAGGAGGCCCAGGUUUGAUCCCUGGUCAGGGAA